rnacentral:rRNA from 1 species
UACGGAGGGUGCAAGCGUUGUCCGGAAUCACUGGGCGUAAAGGGCGCGUAGGCGGCUCAUGAAGGCUGUGGUGAAAGUCCGGGGCUCAACCUCGGAUCGGCCGUGGCGACUCGUGGGCUGGAGCACUGUAGAGGCGGGUGGAAUUCCGGGUGUAGCGGUGGAAUGCGUAGAGAUCCGGAAGAACACCAGUGGCGAAGGCGGCCCGCUGGGCAGUGGCUGACGAUGAGGCGCGACAGCGUGGGGAGCAAACAGG